rnacentral:rRNA from 1 species
GACGAACGCUGGCGGCGUGCCUAAUACAUGCAAGUAGAACGCUGAAGGCGGAGCUUGCUUCUCUGGAUGAGUUGCGAACGGGUGAGUAACGCGUAGGUAACCUGCCUGGUAGCGGGGGAUAACUAUUGGAAACGAUAGCUAAUACCGCAUAAUAGCAGUUAUUGCAUGAUAACUGUUUGAAAGGUGCAAUUGCUCCACUACCAGAUGGACCUGCGUUGUAUUAGCUAGUUGGUGGGGUAACGGCUCACCAAGGCGACGAUACAUAGCCGACCGGAGAGGGGGAUCGGCCAAACUGGGACUGAGACACGGCCCAGACGCCUACGGGAGGCAGCAGUAGGGAAUCUUUGGGAAUGGACGGAAGUCUGACCGAGCAACGCCGCGUGAGGGAAGAAGGGUGUCGGGUCGGAAAGAUCUGGUGUAAGGGAAGAACGAGUGUGAGAGUGGAAAGUGCACACUGUGACGGUAUCUGACCAGAAAGGGACGGCUAACUACGUG